GAAGACGACCAUAAUAGUCAGGAAACACCUGAUCCCUUUCCGAACUCAGAAGUUAAGCUGGCUAUGUUGUAAGCAUUAGUUUCCGAAAGGAAGUGAAACUUAUAAGUUGUCUUCG
rnacentral:rRNA from 1 species